rnacentral:rRNA from 1 species
UACAGAGGGGGCAAGCGUUAUUCGGAAUUAUUGGACGUAAAGGGCGCGUAGGCGGCUUUGCAAGUGACGGGUGAAAUCCCUCGGCUUAACCGAGGAACUGCCUGUCAGACUGUGAGGCUUGAGACCGGGAGAGGUGAGUGGAAUUCCCAGUGUAGCGGUGAAAUGCGUAGAUAUCUGGAGGAACACCGGUGGCGAAGGCGGCAUCCUGGACCGGUAUUGACGCUGAGGCGCGAAAGCUAGGGGAGCAAACGGG